GAUGAACGCUGGCGGCGUGCCUAAUACAUGCAAGUCGAACGAAACUUCUUUAUCACCGAGUGCUUGCACUCACCGAUAAAGAGUUGAGUGGCGAACGGGUGAGUAACACGUGGGCAACCUGCCCAAAAGAGGGGGAUAACACUUGGAAACAGGUGCUAAUACCGCAUAACCAUAGUUACCGCAUGGUAACUAUGUAAAAGGUGGCUAUACUACCGCCUUUGGAUGGGCCCGCGGCGCAUUAGCUAGUUGGUAGGGUAAAGGCUUACCAAGGCAAUGAUGCGUAGCCGAAUUGAGAGGUUGAUCGGCCACAUUGGGACUGAGACACGGCCCAAACUCCUACGGGAGGCAGCAGUAGGGAAUCUUCCACAAUGGGCGAAAGCCUGAUGGAGCAACGCCGCGUGGGUGAAGAAGGUCUUCGGAUCGUAAAACCCCGUUGUUAGAGAAGAAAGUGCGUGAGAGUAACUGUUCACGUUUCGACGGUAUCUAACCAGAAAGCCACGGCUAACUACGUG
rnacentral:rRNA from 1 species